UUUUUUUUUCCUACCAUUUUGAAUGCACCUGCUCUGAUCGAGUCCUGGAAGCUAACCAGAGUCAAGCCUCGUUAGUAUUUGGAUGGGAGAUAACUUGGGAAAAUUUGGGUGAUGUAGGUA
rnacentral:rRNA from 1 species